GACGAACGCUGGCGGCGUGCUUAACACAUGCAAGUCGAACGGAAAGGCCCUGCUUUUGUGGGGUGCUCGAGUGGCGAACGGGUGAGUAACACGUGAGUAACCUGCCCUUGACUUUGGGAUAACUUCAGGAAACUGGGGCUAAUACCGGAUAGGACUCCCUCCUGCAUGGUGGGGUUGGGAAAGUUUCGGCGGUUGGGGUUGGACUCGCGGCUUAUCAGCUUGUUGGUGGGGUAGUGGCUUACCAAGGCUUUGACGGGUAGCCGGCCUGAGAGGGUGACCGGCCACAUUGGGACUGAGAUACGGCCCAGACUCCUACGGGAGGCAGCAGUGGGGAAUAUUGCACAAUGGGCGGAAGCCUGAUGCAGCAACGCCGCGUGCGGGAUGACGGCCUUCGGGUUGUAAACCGCUUUCGCCUGUGACGAAGCGUGAGUGACGGUAAUGGGUAAAGAAGCACCGGCUAACUACGUG
rnacentral:rRNA from 1 species